rnacentral:rRNA from 2 species
UGUGCCUAAUACAUGCAAGUCGUACGCACUGGCCCAACUGAUUGAUGGUGCUUGCACCUGAUUGACGAUGGAUCACCAGUGAGUGGCGGACGGGUGAGUAACACGUAGGUAACCUGCCCCGGAGCGGGGGAUAACAUUUGGAAACAGAUGCUAAUACCGCAUAACAACAAAAGCCACAUGGCUUUUGUUUGAAAGAUGGCUUUGGCUAUCACUCUGGGAUGGACCUGCGGUGCAUUAGCUAGUUGGUAAGGUAACGGCUUACCAAGGCGAUGAUGCAUAGCCGAGUUGAGAGACUGAUCGGCCACAAUGGAACUGAGACACGGUCCAUACUCCUACGGGAGGCAGCAGUAGGGAAUCUUCCACAAUGGGCGCAAGCCUGAUGGAGCAACACCGCGUGAGUGAAGAAGGGUUUCGGCUCGUAAAGCUCUGUUGUUGGAGAAGAACGUGCGUGAGAGUAACUGUUCACGCAGUGACGGUAUCCAACCAGAAAGUCACGGCUAACUACGUGCCAGCAGCCGCGGUAAUACGUAGGUGGCAAGCGUUAUCCGGAUUUAUUGGGCGUAAAGCGAGCGCAGGCGGUUGCUUAGGUCUGAUGUGAAAGCCUUCGGCUUAACCGAAGAAGUGCAUCGGAAACCGGGCGACUUGAGUGCAGAAGAGGACAGUGGAACUCCAUGUGUAGCGGUGGAAUGCGUAGAUAUAUGGAAGAACACCAGUGGCGAAGGCGGCUGUCUGGUCUGCAACUGACGCUGAGGCUCGAAAGCAUGGGUAGCGAACAGGAUUAGAUACCCUGGUAGUCCAUGCCGUAAACGAUGAGUGCUAGGUGUUGGAGGGUUUCCGCCCUUCAGUGCCGGAGCUAACGCAUUAAGCACUCCGCCUGGGGAGUACGACCGCAAGGUUGAAACUCAAAGGAAUUGACGGGGGCCCGCACAAGCGGUGGAGCAUGUGGUUUAAUUCGAAGCUACGCGAAGAACCUUACCAGGUCUUGACAUCUUGCGCUAACCUUAGAGAUAAGGCGUUCCCUUCGGGGACGCAAUGACAGGUGGUGCAUGGUCGUCGUCAGCUCGUGUCGUGAGAUGUUGGGUUAAGUCCCGCAACGAGCGCAACCCUUGUUACUAGUUGCCAGCAUUAAGUUGGGCACUCUAGUGAGACUGCCGGUGACAAACCGGAGGAAGGUGGGGACGACGUCAGAUCAUCAUGCCCCUUAUGACCUGGGCUACACACGUGCUACAAUGGACGGUACAACGAGUCGCAAGCUCGCGAGAGUAAGCUAAUCUCUUAAAGCCGUUCUCAGUUCGGACUGUAGGCUGCAACUCGCCUACACGAAGUCGGAAUCGCUAGUAAUCGCGGAUCAGCAUGCCGCGGUGAAUACGUUCCCGGGCCUUGUACACACCGCCCGUCACACCAUGGGAGUUUGUAACGCCCAAAGUCGGUGGCCUAACCUUUAUGGAGGGAGCCG